UCAAGGGAUGAGAACCAGGGAGACACAGACUUCUCAGAGUCUCGGAAGCACUGCUGACCAUCACCUUAUCAGAGCGGCAAGGCUGAGUUCCCGAAUGCUUGACUCUCUUUGUCCCCAUCCCAUCCCCAUGCCCUAUAAAGCUUGCUGUCCAGAGAGGAGAUCAAAGUAUGUGACCAAGACUGAGAAGCGCUGCAGGAGGAGAAGUUAA
rnacentral:lncRNA from 1 species